rnacentral:hammerhead_ribozyme from 1 species
GAACGCUGACGAGUCCCAAACAGGACGAAACAGCUGUCCAGUGC